CGUUGUACGCCUUGCA
rnacentral:sRNA from 1 species